CAAUCGAACCCGGAGAUAGCUGGUUCUCCUCGAAAUAGCUUUAGGGCUAGCCUCGCAUUAGUUUACCGGAGGUAGAGCACUGAAUGGUCUAGGGGGCCUCACCGCCUACCGAAACCUAUCAAACUGCGAAUGCCGGAUAAAUGAUGUGCGGGAGUCAGGCCGCGAGAGAUAAGUUCCGCGGUCAAAAGGGGAACACCCCAGAUCGUCUGCUAAGGUCCCCAAGUACGCGUUAAGUGGGAAAGGAUGUUGGAUUGCACAGACAACCAGGAUGUUGGCUUAGAAGCAGCCACACAUUCAAAGAGUGCGUAAUAGCUCACUGGUCGAGUGAUCCAGCGCCGAAAAUGUAACGGGGCUAAAACGCGACACCGAAGCAGCGGGAUGCGUAAGCAUCGGUAGAGGAGCAUUGUGUGAGGGUUGAAGCCAGAGCGGGAGCACUGGUGGACUUCACAGAAGAGAGAAUGCCGGUAUGAGUAGCGAGACCCAUGCGAGAAACAUGGGCGUCGAAGGCCCAAGGUUUCCUGGGGAAGGUUCAUCCACCCAGGGUAAGUCGGGACCUAAGCCGAGGACUGAGGUCGUAGGCGAUGGACAGCAGGUAGAGAUUCCUGCACCACUUACACUUGUUUGACGAAGCAGUGACACAGAAGGAUAGGACGAGCGCGGUGAUGGUCAACCGCGUAGGCGGCACGAGGCCGGGGAGCAGUUAAGUACACUUCCCAAGAAGGCUGAGUGCUGACAGGACCGAAAAAGAGUAGGGAAGCGUCUGAGUUCACGCUGGCGAGAAAAGCUGCUAAGGAGAGUGUGAGUGCCCGUACCGGAAACCGACGCAGGUGGGCGAGGAGAGAAUCCUGAGACGGACGGGAGAACUCUUGUUAAGGAACUCGGCAAAAUGACCCCGUAACUUCGGGAGAAGGGGUGCCUCGAAAGAGGCCGCAGAGAAUAGGCCCAAGCGACUGUUUAGCAAAAACACAGGUUUGUGCGAAAGCGAGAGCUGACGUAUACGAGCUGACGCCUGCCCGGUGCUGGAAGGUUAAGAGGAGUUGUCAUCGCAAGAGAAGCAGCGAAUUGAAGCCCCAGUAAACGGCGGCCGUAACUAUAACGGUCCUAAGGUAGCGAAAUUCCUUGUCGGGUAAGUUCCGACCCGCACGAAUGGCGUAACGACUUGGGCGCUGUCUCAACAAGGGACUCGGUGAAAUUGAAGUAUGGGUGAAGAUGCCCAUUACCCGCGACUGGACGGAAAGACCCCGUAGAGCUUUACUGCAGCUUAUCAUUGAGAAUUGGUAACGGAUGUACAGGAUAGGUGGGAGGCUGGGAAACAUCGUCGUCAGAUGGUGCGGAGCCGGCGUUGGGAUACCACUCUUCUGUUACUGGUUUUCUAACAACAUGCGAUAAUCUCGGUGAUGGACAGUGAUAGGUGGGCAGUUUGACUGGGGCGGUCGCCUCCCAAAGAGUAACGGAGGCGCCCAAAGGUUCCCUCAGAAUGGAUGGAAAUCAUUCGAAGAGUGCAAUGGCAGAAGGGAGCCUGACUGCGAGACAAACACGUCGGGCAGAGACGAAAGUCGGGCAUAGUGAUCAGGUGACAUCGAGUGGAAGAGUCAUCGCUCAACGGAUAAAAGCUACCUCGGGGAUAACAGGCUGAUCUCCCCCAAGAGUCCACAU
rnacentral:rRNA from 1 species